GAGUUUGAUCCUGGCUCAGGACGAACGCUGGCGGCGUGCUUAACACAUGCAAGUCGAACGGUGACCUCGGAGCUUGCUCCGGGUGAUCAGUGGCGAACGGGUGAGUAACACGUGAGCAACCUGCCCCCCGACUCUGGGGAUAACCCCGGGAAAUCGGAGCUAAUACCGGAUACGAGACGCACAGGCAUCUGUUGCGUCUGGAAAGAAUUUCGGUCGGGGAUGGGCUCGCGGCCUAUCAGCUAGUUGGUGGGGUAGUGGCCUACCAAGGCGACGACGGGUAGCCGGCCUGAGAGGGCGACCGGCCACACUGGGACUGAGACACGGCCCAGACUCCUACGGGAGGCAGCAGUGGGGAAUAUUGCACAAUGGGCGCAAGCCUGAUGCAGCGACGCCGCGUGAGGGAUGACGGCCUC
rnacentral:rRNA from 1 species